rnacentral:rRNA from 1 species
GUAAAGAAUCUUUCGCAAUGGGGGCAACCCUGACGAAGCAAUACCGCGUGAACGAUGAAGGUCGAAAGAUUGUAAAGUUCUUUUCUGAGGGAAGAAUUCUGACGGUACCUCAGGAAUAAGCACCGGCUAACUCCGUGCCAGCAGCCGCGGUAAUACGGAGGGUGCAAGCGUUAUCCGGAAUCAUUGGGCGUAAAGCGUCCGCAGGCUGUUUAUUAAGUCGAAUAUUAAAUCUUGAAGCCCAACUUCAAGGCCGUGUUCGAAACUGGUAAACUAGAGUCUCUCAAAGGUGCGUAGAAUUCUGUGUGUAGGGGUAAAAUCCGUAGAUACACAGAGGAAUACCAAAAGCGAAGGCAUCGCACUGGGAGAGUACUGACGCUCAUGGACGAAAGCGUGGGGAGCGAACGGGAUUAGAAACCCGAGUAGUCC